rnacentral:rRNA from 1 species
UAUUGGUCAAUAGCCUAACGGCUGAACCAGCAACUAGGAGGAAUGUAAAAUUAUUGUAAUAGAUAAUUUUCUGUGUGAACAACAUAGAGUUAACGUAGUUAAGUAAAGUUCUGAGUAAAAAUUGAUAAUGACAAUUUUUAGGAGUAUGUCUUGACCAAUUCAUGUGCCAGCAGUCGCGGUAACACAUGUAAGACUGGUGUUAUUCAUCUUUAAUAGGUUUAAAGGGUACCUAGACGGUUAAUUAAGCUAUAAAAGUACUUAUAUAACUAGAGUUUAAUGUAAGAAGAAGAGUACGGUGAGUGUAGAGAUAAAAUUUUGUGAUACCACUUAGAAACUGGCAAAUGCGAAGGCAAUCUUCUAUGUAAAAACUGACGUUGAGGGACGAAGGCUCGUUAGAAGUAACAGGAUUAGAUACCCUAGUAUUGUGGGCAGACAAUGAUGAAUGUCAUAUGCAAGAAAAUUUUUGUGUAUAAAUGAAAGUGUAAGCAUUCCACCUCAAGAGUAAUAUGGCAACAUAUAAACUGAAAUCAUUAGACCGUUUCUGAAACUCGUAGUGAAGUAUGUUGUUUAAUUUGUAGUUACACAAAGAACCUUACCACAAUUUGAAUACUAUACGUAAAUAUACAAUAUAGAUUUUAUACAAGCGUUGCACGGCUGUCUUCAGUUAAUGUCGUGAGACUUUGGUUAGAUCCAUUAAAUUAACGUAUAACCCUUACUUUAUUUAAUAUAAAAUAGUUCGCCGCUAUAUUGGUAGUGAUAUAAGGGACCAAGACAAGUCAUCAUGACCUAAAUAUUGUGGGCUAUAGAC